rnacentral:tRNA from 1 species
CAUUAAGUAACUUAAGAUUAAAGUGUUGGUCUCUUAAACCAAAUAAUAGUAAAAAAAUACUCUUAAUGA